rnacentral:rRNA from 1 species
CACGUAGGGUGCGAGCGUUGUCCGGAAUUAUUGGGCGUAAAGAGCUCGUAGGCGGUGUGUCGCGUCGGCCGUGAAAACCUGCAGCUUAACUGUGGGCUUGCGGUCGAUACGGGCAUCACUGGAGUUCGGCAGGGGAGACUGGAAUUCCUGGUGUAGCGGUGAAAUGCGCAGAUAUCAGGAGGAACACCGGUGGGCGAAGGCGGGGUCUCUGGGCCGAAAUUGACGC